rnacentral:tRNA from 1 species
UCCUUUGUAGCUCAGUUGGUAGAGCAUGGUACUUGUAACACCAAUGUAGUGGGUUUGAUUCCAAAGGAC